GCGCUUGUUUCAGCAGCACAAAUACUCAAAUUGGAAAGAUACAGAGAAGAUCAGCAUGGCCCCUGCACUGGGACUACAUGCAAAUUCGAAACACCUUGGGUAAAUCA
rnacentral:snRNA from 1 species